rnacentral:rRNA from 1 species
UACGGGGGGAGCAAGCGUUGUUCGGAUUUACUGGGCGUAAAGCGCACGUAGGCGGCUUUGUAAGUUAGAGGUGAAAGCCCGGGGCUCAACUCCGGAAUUGCCUUUAAGACUGCAUCGCUAGAAUUGUGGAGAGGUAAGUGGAAUUCCGAGUGUAGAGGUGAAAUUCGUAGAUAUUCGGAAGAACACCAGUGGCGAAGGCGACUUACUGGACACAUAUUGACGCUGAGGUGCGAAAGCGUAGGGAGCAAACAGG